rnacentral:rRNA from 1 species
AAGCGUUAAUCGGAAUCACUGGGCGUAAAGCGCGCGUAGGUGGAUAUUUAAGUCGGAUGUGAAAGCCCUAGGCUUAACCUGGGAAUUACAUCCGAUACUAGGUAUCUCGAGUAUGAUAGAGGGAAGUGGAAUUUCCGGUGUAGCGGUGAAAUGCGUAGAUAUCGGAAAGAACACCAGUGGCGAAGGCGGCUUCCUGGAGCAAUACUGACACUGAGGCGCGAAAGCGUGGGGAGCAAACAGGAUUAGAGACCCUGGUAGUCCACGCCGUCAACGAUGAGAACUAGCUGUUGGAAAGUUUUCUUUCUAGUAGCAAAGCUAACGCGUUAAGUUCUCCG